CCCUACGGGGCGCAGCAGGCGCGAAAGCUUUACAAUGCUGGAAACAGCGAUAAGGGAACCUCGAGUGCCAGGUUACAAAUCUGGCUGUCGUGAUGCCUAAAAAGCAUUGCAUAGCAAGGGCCGGGCAAGACCGGUGCCAGCCGCCGCGGUAACACCGGCGGCUCGAGUGGUGGCCACUAUUACUGGGCUUAAAGCGUUCGUAGCUGGUCUGUUAAGUCUCUGGGGAAAUCUACUGGCUUAACCAAUAGGCGUCUCAGGGAUACUGGCAGACUAGGGACCGGGAGAGGUGAGAGGUACUCCAGGGGUAGGAGUGAAAUCCUGUAAUCC
rnacentral:rRNA from 1 species